rnacentral:rRNA from 1 species
CAGUAGCCGCGGUAAUACGAAGGGUGCAAGCGUUAAUCGGAAUUACUGGGCGUAAAGCGUGCGCAGGCGGUUGUGUAAGACAGGUGUGAAAUCCCCGGGCUUAACCUGGGAACUGCGCUUGUGACUGCACAGCUAGAGUAUGGCAGAGGGGGGUGGAAUUCCACGUGUAGCAGUGAAAUGCGUAGAGAUGUGGAAGAACACCGAUGGCGAAGGCAGCCCCCUGGGCCAAUACUGACGCUCAUGCACGAAAGCGUGGGGAGCAAACAGGAUUAGAUACCCCCGUAGUCCCUGUCUCUUAUAC